UACGUAGGGUGCGAGCGUUGUCCGGAAUUACUGGGCGUAAAGAGCUCGUAGGUGGUUUGUCGCGUUGUCCGUGAAAACUCACAACUCAAUUGUGGGCGUGCGGGCGAUACGGGCAGACUGGAGUACUGCAGGGGAGACUGGAAUUCCUGGUGUAGCGGUGGAAUGCGCAGAUAUCAGGAGGAACACCGGUGGCGAAGGCGGGUCUCUGGGCAGUAACUGACG
rnacentral:rRNA from 1 species